CCUACGGGUGGCAGCAGUGGGGAAUAUUGGGCAAUGGGCGCAAGCCUGACCCAGCAACGCCGCGUGAAGGAAGAAGGCUUUCGGGUUGUAAACUUCUUUUAAGAGGUAAGAGCAGAAGACUGUACCUCUUGAAUACUCCACGGCUAACUACGUUCCAGCAGCCGCCGUAAUACGUAGGUCGCAAGCGUUAUCCGGAUUUCCUGGGUGUACAGGGCGUGUAGCCGGGCUGUCAAGGAAGAUGUGAAAUUCCGGGGCUCAACCCCGGACCUGCAUUUGAAACUGUUGGUCUUGAGUAUCGGAGAGGCAGGCGGAAUUCCUAGUGUAGCGGUGAAAUGCGUAGAUAUUAGGAGGAACACCAGUGGCGAAGGCGGCCUGCUGGACGACAACUGACGGUGAGGCGCGAAAGCGUGGGGAGCAAACAGGAUUAGAUACCCUUGUAGUC
rnacentral:rRNA from 1 species